rnacentral:lncRNA from 1 species
CACUUAAAACAUGUUCUCUCUGAUUAUGUCAGUGCUGGUUCAUCAUGACAUCUUGAGACUAACUCUGGUACUCCACAUCCUCCUUUCUCAUAAAAUAAUCCCUAAACUCUCACAUUGCCAGAGCUUGGAACAGUCUAGUAAGAUAUUGUUGGAACUGAUACUUUUUGGGGAAAUGUUGUCCAUAUCAGUCAGUUUCCACUUAAAACAUGUUCUCUCUGAUUAUGUCAGUGCUGGUUCAUCAUGACAUCUUGAGACUAACUCUGGUACUCCA